CCCAGCGGUCAGUCAGCUGUCUUGGCCUUCCGUGCCACGAUCAGUGUUACAUUGCUGGUAGAUCAUUGCCCCACCAUCUGGCCUGGUCGGGUGGACACUGUUUUAGUGUCUGCUUGUGCUGGGCUGCGGCAGGGCUGUGCCCCUCUGAGAGUGGACUGUCCCUCUGUACAUGGGGGCCGUCCUGGUUUGGGGUCCGACACC